CGUUGAAACACCGGUUCUCGUACGAUCACCGGAGUUAAGCAACAUUGAGCCUGGUCAGUACUUAGAUGAGAGACCGAUUGGGAAUACCAAGUACUGU